AUGCCUCCCCAUUCCACGCCCAAAAGGGGGAGAAGAGACGAGCACCCGCACCCCGUGAGGUUUCCGUUUGUCCACUCCUGCUGCCGCUGCUGCUCGCGCCCGCCGCCACCGCCGCCGCCGCCGACUCGAGGAGGGAGGCCGUGGAUGGAGAUCGCGCGGUCCGCCGCCGCCGUGGGCUGCUCCAAGGAGCACCAGAGGAUCUACGCCGACUGGUUCGCCAUCGCCGACCCAGAUGGAGACGGGCGCGUCACGGGCGCCGACGCCACCAAGUUCUUCGCCAUGUCCGGCCUCUCCCGCGCCGACCUCAAGCAGGUCUGGGCGAUUGCUGACUCCAAGCGUCAGGGGUACCUCGGCUUCGGCGAGUUCGCGGCUGCGAUGCAGCUCGUUUCUCUCGCUCAAGCGGGCAAUGAGAUCACCCAGGACAGUCUCAAGCGUGAAGAUCUGAGUAGCUUCGAUCCUCCUGUGAUGAAAGGUCUUGAUGAACUGCUUGCUAGAUCAAUGGCUAUUGUGAAUGUAGUUCGCCCACAAGAAAAUGGCACCCCUCAGGUGCAAGCACCUUCUACAAACAGCUGGUUCAGUUCCAAAUCAGCAAAGAAGAUUCAAACGCCUCUGACUGCUGUUACUUCUGUAAUUGAUGGCUUGAAAAGACUCUACAUCGAAAAACUGAAGCCUUUAGAAGUUGCAUACCGGUUCAAUGAUUUUGCCUCCCCAUUGCUGACGAACAGUGACUUCGAUGCGAAGCCAAUGGUUAUGCUCUUGGGUCAAUAUUCUACAGGGAAAACAACAUUCAUUAAGCACCUGUUGAAAUCAAACUUCCCAGGAGCUCAUAUCGGACCAGAGCCCACUACUGACAGAUUUGUGGUUGUGAUGUCAGGAUCUGAUGAAAGGACUGUCCCUGGCAAUACAAUUGCAGUCCAAGCUGAUAUGCCUUUCAAUGGUCUUACAACAUUUGGGGGUGCAUUCCUAUCAAAGUUUGAAUGCUCUCAGAUGCCACAUCCUCUACUGGAUCAUAUCACCUUUGUCGACACUCCUGGUGUUCUCUCUGGUGAAAAGCAAAGGACCCAACGUAGUUAUGAUUUCACUGGUGUAACUUCAUGGUUUGCUGCAAAGUGCGAUGUUAUUCUUCUAUUGUUUGAUCCUCACAAGCUCGAUAUCAGUGAUGAAUUCAAGCGUGUCAUUUCUUCUUUACGUGGGAAUGAAGACAAAAUACGUGUGGUGCUGAACAAGGCAGACCAAGUUGACACUCAGCAGCUUAUGAGAGUGUACGGUGCGCUGAUGUGGUCUCUUGGGAAAGUUCUAAACACCCCUGAGGUUAUGCGUGUCUACAUUGGGUCGUUUAAUGACAAACCUGUGAAUGAAUCAGCUGUUGGGCCAAUUGGAAAGGAAUUGUUUGAGAAAGAGCAAGAGGAUCUCCUUGCUGACCUGAAAGACAUACCUAAGAAGGCUUGUGAUCGCCGGGUCAAUGAGUUUGUGAAGCGUGCUAGAGCUGCGAAGAUCCAUGCUUACAUAAUUGGCCAGCUGAAGAAGGAAAUGCCUGCAAUGAUGGGGAAAGCCAAGGCUCAACAGCGACUCAUUGACAACUUACAAGAUGAGUUUGCAAAGGUCCAGAGGGAGUACCACCUUCCGGCGGGCGACUUCCCUGACUUGGAGCACUUCAAGCAGGUGCUGGCCGGGUACAGCAUCGACAAGUUCGAGAAGAUGAAGCCCAAGAUGGUGCAGGCCGUGGACGACAUGCUCGCGCACGACAUCCCGGACCUCCUCAAGAACUUCAGCAACCCUUACCAGUGA
rnacentral:rRNA from 1 species